rnacentral:rRNA from 1 species
AAUCAACGCUGGCGGCGUGCCUAACACAUGCAAGUCGAACGAGAAGGUGACUUCGGUCACUGGAUAGUGGCGUCCGGGUGAGUAACACGUAGGUAAUCUACCUUCGGGUGGGGAAUAACGUCUCGAAAGAGACGCUAAUACCGCAUAAUGCAGCGGCACCUAAUGGUGAUUAGUUGUUAAAGCGGGGGAUCUUCGGACCUCGCGCCUGAAGAGGAGCCUGCGGCAGAUAGCUAGUUGGUGAGGUAAUGGCUCACCAAGGCUUCGAUCUGUAGCUGGUCUGAGAGGACGGCCAGCCACACUGGCACUGACACACGGGCCAGACUCCUACGGGAGGCAGCAGUGGGGAAUUUUGGGCAAUGGGCGAAAGCCUGACCCAGCAACGCCGCGUGAAGGAGGAAAUCCUUCGGGAUGUAAACUUCAUAAGUAAGGGAAGAAAGCUG